rnacentral:rRNA from 1 species
AUUCGAUGCAACGCGAAGAACCUUACCUGGUCUUGACAUCCACGGAAGGCCUCAGAGAUGGGACUGUGCCUUCGGGAACCGUGAGACAGGUGCUGCAUGGCUGUCGUCAGCUCGUGUUGUGAAAUGUUGGGUUAAGUCCCGCAACGAGCGCAACCCUUAUCCUUUGUUGCCAGCACGUGAUGGUGGGAACUCAAAGGAGACUGCCGGUGAUAAACCGGAGGAAGGUGGGGAUGACGUCAAGUCAUCAUGGCCCUUACGACCAGGGCUACACACGUGCUACAAUGGCGCAUACAAAGAGAAGCGACCUCGCGAGAGCAAGCGGACCUCAUAAAGUGCGUCGUAGUCCGGAUUGGAGUCUGCAACCCGACUCCAUGAAGUCGGAAUCGCUAGUAAUCGUGGAUCAGAAUGCCACGGUGAAUACGUUCCCGGGCCUUGUACACACCGCCCGUCACACCAUGGGAGUGGGUUGCAAAAGAAGUAGGUAGCUUAACCUUCGGGAGGGCGCUUACCACUUUGUGAUUCAUGACUGGGGUG